GGGUGAUCCUCGUUAACAUAUGAGACAGACAUCAUAUGGAGAAUCAUCACAGCCACCCAGGUGUUAUGAGGCUUCUCAGUAACCCUCCAGGAUGGCCUAACUUGGGUCUUGAAGAUGGUGCAGUCAGAUGUUUCAGGUUCUACAUGGCAAAUCACCUGCACCCAUCCACUGGUCUAUUCAUGAGCACCUGACUUUGGAUAAAAGUGAAGGUGCACAAUCUGUCGGGAGGUCUGGUGGUCCUCUCCUUGAAAAUGUGUGCAUUUUUUUAAAAAUCCUGCAAUUCUAUGUUGUUUCUCAAAAUGGAAUUCAUGAUUACUUGACAGAACACAGAACAACCUUUUUUUGACAGAACAACCUUUUUUCUUAGUUUUUUUCCACAAUAAACAAAAUUUUAGCCAUAAUAAAUUAAAGAGUGGAUUCGAUUUGUUUUUCUGAAUAGAUUACGAAUCUACCACCUCCCCUCAAAGUCCCACCCUUAGUGAUUGAUUGGCAGGUUUUAAACCCUCACAAACAUCCUGACCCCUCUCCUGGCAAUCCCACCCACACACAGUGAUUGAUUGACAGAACAAACUGUUAAAGGGAUAGUUCACCCAAAUAAAAAAAGACAUUGUUUUCCUUACCCUAAGUGUCCACAGCAGUAGAGCCAAUAAAAUACCUAGUUUGAAGAACAGACAUCAUUGUUGCAUUCAUGUUCAACUGUUCUGCCUGCGGCUAUGAAACCCUGACCUGUUCACCGGAUGUGCUACCUGUCCCAGACCUGCUGUUUUCAACUCUCUAGAGACAGCAGGAGACGUAG